rnacentral:rRNA from 1 species
CCUACGGGUGGCAGCAGUGGGGAAUAUUGGACAAUGGGGGAAACCCUGAUCCAGCCAUGCCGCGUGUGUGAAGAAGGCCUUUUGGUUGUAAAGCACUUUAAGCAGUGAAGAAGACUCUUCGGUUAAUACCCGGAGACGAUGACAUUAGCUGCAGAAUAAGCACCGGCUAACUCUGUGCCAGCAGCCGCGGUAAUACAGAGGGUGCAAGCGUUAAUCGGAAUUACUGGGCGUAAAGCGAGCGUAGGUGGCUUGAUAAGUCAGAUGUGAAAUCCCCGGGCUUAACCUGGGAACUGCAUCUGAUACUGUCAGGCUAGAGUAGGUGAGAGGAAGGUAGAAUUCCAGGUGUAGCGGUGAAAUGCGUAGAGAUCUGGAGGAAUACCGAUGGCGAAGGCAGCCUUCUGGCAUCAUACUGACACUGAGGCUCGAAAGCGUGGGUAGCAAACAGGAUUAGAUACCCUUGUAGUC